UCGUAGCGAUCAACCCUCAAAUCUUCGAAUACGGACAAAGGUGUACUCAUCAACUUUGUCCCUCAUCAAGAUUUAAGGGAAUAUACAUCUUUCCGCCCCUAGCUUUCUCUCUGUAACUUUCUCUCUAAAAGUCCAUCCUUCUUUCUUGCGGCUACCGGAGGUGUUGUUUUUUUCCUUCUUUUACCUUGUGCUUACUGGCCAAUUCAUCUCCAUUGCUCGAUAUGUUGUGGACCCUGAAGUUGAGCGAAUCUGGUCCCAGAUCUAAUGUCGUAGGCUUUGUUCCGAUGUUCUCUCGGUAGUGCUUUGGUGUCGCGACGAGGGUUGUGGGUGUACUUUGUUGGGAAGUCGGCUCUUAGGGUUUGGCGGAGAAGUGGGUUGAAGUUUUCAGAUAUAUCGAUCUACUCCUAUGCCUGGCGGUGGGGGCGCGUGGUCGAGUGUUUAUGGCUCCUCUCUUCAGAUCCGGUGUACUUGGCGAGCAUGUGUUUGAUUUGGGGCAGAGUGGUCAGGAGCUGAGGUUGUCUGUGUCCGCUCUGUGUCGAUUGUCGGCUCUCUCCCUUUUUUCCUCCGGUUAAGUAGGGUUCUGGUGGUCUCCCCAGAGGCUCGGUUUCUUGUGCAAAAGUUAUUGUGUGGUAGCUGUAGCUACAUGAGUCGUCUUGUGCUGCUAAAGGUUUCGGCUUCAGGCAGGGCCGUCUAAGACCUAGCAUCUGUAUGCGGCUCCUACUUUGUCUCCUCGGUUCUCUCUGCUCUUGGUGUUGUCAAGGUAUUCCGUGGGGCCUGGCUUGUUCUUCUUCUCCGUCUUGUCGGGUUGCUUAGCGGUUCCCCCCCCCCCCCUNNNNNNNNNNNNNNNNNNNNNNNNNNNNNNNNNNCCCCCCCCCCCCAUUAUGUCUAUCUAGCGAGUCUCUUUGGAGCUUAUACCGGUGCUCGGUGUUGACGCGAGGCGGUUUACUCGGUUCUUCGUUGGUUCUGCGGAGUGUCGGUACAUCGAGGGAGACUCGUAUUUGGAAAGGUCAUCCCAGAACCAUUGUUGGGCCUCUUGGUCUCCAAUGGUGGAUCGGUCCUUUUUCUAUCUUGAUGGUUUUGAAGUAAAGCACCAGGAUGUGGCUCUCACCGCAACUCGACUUUCUGCUCCGGUUCUCAUUUGUUUCCAAGUGUGACUCUCGUGGUCUGGAGUUGCAUACCCAGUCCGCGCAAAAGAGUGACUAUGGUAUGAAUUGAGGUUUAUGCUCUUGGUUUCUUUUUCCUGCUUUCGGUGGAGGUUGGGUUUCAGGUUAUCCAUCAAUCGGGGGUCUAGCAAAGCUGCGGGGGAAUGGGGUUAAUCAAUUGGAGCAGCGGUUUGGGCAAGCCGAGAUCUACCGAGUGUGGUCUCAUGGUUUAUCAAAGGCACCAUAACCUUGUGGCAAUGUUUCAUUCCCUAUCAAGCUUCUCCUUCUUAUCAUCCUAGUUAGUUCAAGCUUAUAGUUGUUCACAUUGCUCUCCAGUUCCUCGGGAGUUACUUCUUCUCACUCUUGUUGUGUAGUUAGUUUAGAUUCUUUAUGCUACUUGUUUACCGUGUAAUGUAUGUCAAAACUUAAAAGCUUUGGUAUAAAAUUUUAACAUCUACACCAAAAUACUCUCAAAAUUUUAUUUUGAGAUUUUUUUCCCCUUAAAAUUAGGUGCAUGGUAGGAAAUGCUCUAAGCAAUGCAAUUUUCA
rnacentral:lncRNA from 1 species